UACGGGGGGGGCAAGCGUUGUUCGGAAUUACUGGGCGUAAAGGGCUCGUAGGCGGCCAACUAAGUCGGAUGUGAAAUCCCCAGGCUUAACUUGGGAACUGCAUCCGAUACUGGAUGGCUUGAAUCCGGGAGAGGGAUGCGGAAUUCCAGGUGUAGCGGUGAAAUGCGUAGAUAUCUGGAGGAACACCGGUGGCGAAGGCGGCAUCCUGGACCGGCAUUGACGCUGAGGAGCGAAAGCCAGGGGAGCAAACGGG
rnacentral:rRNA from 1 species